rnacentral:rRNA from 1 species
UACGUAGGGCGCAAGCGUUGUCCGGAAUUAUUGGGCGUAAAGAGCUCGUAGGCGGUCUGUCACGUCUGCUGUGAAAACCCGGGGCUUAACCCCGGGCUUGCAGUGGAUACGGGCAGACUAGAGGCAGGUAGGGGAGAAUGGAAUUCCCGGUGUAGCGGUGAAAUGCGCAGAUAUCGGGAGGAACACCGGUGGCGAAGGCGGUUCUCUGCGCCUGACCUGACGCUGAGGAGCGAAAGCGUGGGGAGCGAACAGG